UACGGAGGGUGCAAGCGUUGUCCGGAUUUAUCGGGUUUAAAGCGCGCGCAGGCGGUCCUUUAAGUCUGAUGUGAAAGCCCACGGCUCAACCGUGGAGGGUCAUUGGAAACUGGGGGACUUGAGUGCAGAAGAGGAAAGCGGAAUUCCACGUGUAGCGGUGAAAUGCGUAGAGAUGUGGAGGAACACCAGUGGCGAAGGCGGCUUUCUGGUCUGUAACUGACGCUGAGGCGCGAAAGCGUGGGGAGCAAACAGG
rnacentral:rRNA from 1 species